GUACACUCCUGCGGGAGGCAGCAGUGGGGAAUUUUGGACAAUGGGCGAAAGCCUGAUCCAGCAAUGCCGCGUGAGUGAAGAAGGCCUUCGGGUUGUAAAGCUCUUUUGUCAGGGAAGAAACGGUGAAAGCUAAUAUCUUUUGCUAAUGACGGUACCUGAAGAAUAAGCACCGGCUAACUACGUGCCAGCAGCCGCGGUAAUACGUAGGGUGCAAGCGUUAAUCGGAAUUACUGGGCGUAAAGCGUGCGCAGGCGGUUUUGUAAGUCUGAUGUGAAAUCCCCAGGCUCAACCUGGGAAUUGCAUUGGAGACUGCAAGGCUAGAAUCUGGCAGAGGGGGGUAGAAUUCCACGUGUAGCAGUGAAAUGCGUAGAUAUGUGGAGGAACACCGAUGGCGAAGGCAGCCCCCUGGGUCAAGAUUGACGCUCAUGCACGAAAGCGUGGGGAGCAAACAGGAUUAGAAACCCCGGUAGUCCCAUG
rnacentral:rRNA from 1 species